rnacentral:misc_RNA from 1 species
AAACCUCAACUCCAAGUUUGGUUAAUCCGAGCUUGGAUGUUGGAUGUGGGCGUUUGUCAAUGCCAAGUUGACUCGCCUUAAAAAUGUAAGCUGGAUUAGUCUUUGACUGGUUCCCCUAGGCGUAAUAAGUAUUUCGCUUAGGACACAAGUUUGCUUGUGGCCAGGACUUGACGAUAGUCUGCUUUCUAUACCCUACACACUUGUGUGUAACUUCUUGAC